GACUAGCAAAAGAUCUUAAUAGAAAUGAGAAGGAGAAAGGUAGGGCAGUAACCCAGGGAAUUUUCCAGGAUGCCUCCUAAUACUACUAUGACUGAUGGCAAAUAUUCAUGAACAAGUAGAGCAGUUCAACACGGCAGGACAACGUGAGCUUAGAUCCUUCAACAAUGAAGGUUUAUGUCAUCCCACCCGGUGAAUAGCUUCUGGACACUGAGGUUAUUGUUGAGACCAAGAUACGCAUGGAAUGGAAAUAUCAACUAUUGCCUUUGACCAUCUCUCCUAAAGGAGUCACAAAACAAGAAAAGAAAGAAAAUGAAAAAACGCAUUCAACGCAUAUUGAAUCCUUUGAUUUACUCCCUGAGAAACAAAGAUGUCAAAGAGGCUCUAAGAAAACUUCUAGAGAUGAAAAAUACUAUUCUUUGAUUAUUAUUUCUCAUCCAUCAAAGUUUUCAGCACUACUGAACAGCACAUGAAUCUUACUGGAAUCUAAAAGUAAAAUGAGAAGAAAGAAUUCCAAACAGGAGUGAGAACAGAAUAACCUGAAUGUAACUCUUGUAGCAAUGACAAAAAUUACUUGACAUCAAUAAAAUAAGGGAAAAAGGUCAACACUGAAAAAUUACUGUGCAUAUCUUCUCAUGGUGAGGUCUGUUCGCUUCUACCUUAGCCUGACAAUGCUUUUCUGAGUCAGCUGGAUGU